rnacentral:rRNA from 1 species
CCCUUAGAUGUCCUGGGCCGCACGCGUGCUACACUGACACUUACACCGAGUUUUUCCAAUGCCGAAAGGCCAUUGGUAAUCAGCAAUAAGUGUCGUGAUGGGGAUAGAUCUUUGGAAUUAUUGAUCUUGAACGAGGAAUGCCUAGUAAUCGUAGGUCAUCAGCCUGCGAUGAUUACGUCCCUGCCCUUUGUACACACCGCCCGUCGCACCUACCGAUUGAAUGGUCCGGUGAACCCUCCGGAUCGGCUCGCGCCAACGCAAGUUGAGCAAAGGCCGAGAAGUUGGGUAAACCUUACCAUUUAGAGGAAGGUGAAGUCGUAACA